ACUCUGAGCCUUGGUUUUCUCUCCCUCAAAGAAGUAAUGCUUUCCUAAUAGGGUUGUGGGGUUUGACUGAACUAGUCUGUUCAGUGAUUGUUGCAUAAAGUGUCUCCAAAUAUAAUCCUCUUUUCCUAUUUCCUGGACACACCCUUCUCCCACUUCUGUUGUUGAAUAUAGAUGUGUGUGUGUGUGUGUGUGUAUCUCUGUCAUUCAACAAUUCUUUUCUCCAGCAACACUCCUCAUUCCCUGGACUGCUCCUUGUUGAUGGGCGACUGGGUAGAAGAACCUAGUCUAAGGAUGCUUUGCAAAUUUCAGGUACAAUGUGCUGGACCAGGAGAAGCCAUCCUGAUUACUCUCACCAGCUGUGAUCCAGUUGGGGAAAAUGCUUCUUCCUAAAGGUUAUGUGAGACCAAAGUUUGCUUCUUAGAGGGGAAUGCUUCUAACUGAAAACAAAGCAAGAAUUCCAUCUAGCUCUUGCCAUGACAACUGGUUGGUCACCUUAGAUUGACAGGUAUCUCAGACUCCUUGACCUUGCCAAGAGAAGAGAAAGCCAGGACAGAAGUCACCAGUUGUUAGGUGUCAUUGAUCUCAUUCAUUGGGAGAGGUAAGGCUGCUGACAUGCAGUAAGAGGCGAGGUGCCGCAGUCUGGCUGGGCACAAUUCAGGAGCCACUUGUCAAAAGAAACUAACUUUAUUUUUAGAACCACACGCYAAACAAAACAGCUCCUCAGGAAAAACCCUCAGAGCCCAACUGCCACCACCGGCUUCCCACAAGCCUCUCACCCCAACACAAGCCUCUCUCCACCUCCCACAAUCCUCCUGCUCUUGAGGCCAAUUGGCUGAGUCACGUGGGCGGAACCAAAAAAGUCCCCCAAUGAGCAGCUCCGUGGUCUGAAAGGGCAGGGAAACAGCCCAAUGAGCAUCACCGCAGAGGAGCCAAUCAGCUAGAUGUUGCUGGGGCUGCUGUGAGCCAAUCAUCAGCCGGCAGCUGGAAGUUUGCUGGGGCCCCUUUGGCUGUGGCUCUCAACAGCGAGUGUCACUGAGGUAUCUUUUGAAAUUCCCACGUCCAAUUUUAAAUUGUGAUUUUUUUUUUUUUUUUUUUUUUUUUAGGAAUUGAAUUCAGUGAUGCUCAAGCACUGAGCCACAUCCCUAGCGCCCCCCCCCCCUUAUUUUCUAUUUUGAGACAAGGUCUCACUAAGUUGCUUAGGGCCUUACUAAGUUGCUGAGGCUAGCCUUGAACCUGAGAUCCUUCUGCCUCAGCCUCCCAAGUUGCUGGGAUUACCAGCAUGCACCACCAUGCCCUCAUGUCCAGUUUUGAUGGCCAGUGGACAAGUACAACAGCUAUAUUCUGGGGAGGCUUGGUGACCUGAUGAAGGAUGAGGAUCUGGACCAGCUCA
rnacentral:lncRNA from 1 species